UACGUAGGGGGCAAGCGUUGUCCGGAAUUAUUGGGCGUAAAGCGCGCGUAGGCGGCUCGGUAAGUCUGCUGUGAAAGUCCAGGGCUCAACCCUGGAAUGCCGGUGGAUACUGUCGAGCUCGAGUCCGGAAGAGGCGAGUGGAAUUCCUGGUGUAGCGGUGAAAUGCGCAGAUAUCAGGAGGAACACCAAUGGCGAAGGCAGCUCGCUGGGACGGUACUGACGCUGAGACGCGAAAGCGUGGGGAGCAAACAGG
rnacentral:rRNA from 1 species